GACGAACGCUGGCGGCGUGCUUAACACAUGCAAGUCGAACGAAGUGGCGAACGGGUGAGUAACGCGUGAUCAACCUGCCCUUCAGAGGGGGACCACAGUUGGAAACGACUGCUAAUACCGCAUACUGAAGGAGGGGAUUGCGGGGGAUUAGCUAGUUGGAGGGGUAACGGCCCACCAAGGCGAUGAUCAGUAGCCGGUCUGAGAGGAGGAACGGCCAAAUUGGGGCUGAGACACGGCCCAGACUCCUACGGGAGGGAGCAGUGGGGAAUUUUCCGAAAUGGACGAAAGUCUGACGGAGCAACGCCGCGGGAGUGAUGACGGCCUUCGGGUUGUAAAGCUCUGUUAAUCGGGACGCGGUACCGGAAUAGAAAGCCACGGCUAACUACGUGCCAGCAGCCGCGGUAAUUC
rnacentral:rRNA from 1 species